rnacentral:rRNA from 1 species
CUGGCUCAGAAUGAACGUUGGCGGCGUGGAUUAGGCAUGCAAGUCGAACGAAUCCCCGCAAGGGGGGAAGUGGCGAAAGGGGCAGUAAGGCGUAGACAACCUGCCCCGGGCACUGGGAUAGCCCAUCUAACGAUGGGGUAAUACCAGAUACGCUCCGGCAGAGGCAUCUCGGUCGGAGGAAAGCUGCGGCGGCCCGGGAGGGGUUUACGUGAUAUUAGCUAGUUGGUGGGGUAACGGCCUACCAAGGCCAAGAUGUCUAGCAGGUGUGAGAGCACGACCUGCGCCACUGGCACUGGGACACUGGCCAGACUCCUACGGGAGGCUGCAGUCGAGAAUCUUCGGCAAUGAGCGCAAGCUUGACCGAGCGACGCCGCGUGAGCGAUGAAGGGC